UUUCCAUCUCAUACUACUUCACAGGCACUAUUCUCACCCAUAACAACACUCAAGGAUAUGGCAGCUAUGGAAUCUACCAUAUCUCCAAAGAAUCCUACAAGAGCUCCUGAGACAAAAACAGGUAUCAGAAAACUAUGAAGACAGCAAAUGUAAUACACAUUGAAAGAAAAAGAUACCUUGUUUCAUGAAGCUGAAAUAAGGGGAGCUUGUAACAAGACAGGUUCUAACAGAGGCAGGUGUUUUAAUUUAAUAACAAUAAUAAUGUUUCACUGAUUUCCUUGAGUUCUCAAAGACCUAAGUAAAUUUUAGUACUCAAUCCUAUCUUAAAUCUAGAAACCUACUAGAAAGAACCAAAUAUCCCCCAAACAGUGACAAAAUGAUUAUGAGUAGGGUCAAGCUAGGAUGGUGGGAAGGGGAAGCCAUAGUAGCCUACGGUGGGUGUCAAUGCCUGACCUGGGUUAUAAAGGGGUUAUGGGGCUGUUGGUAGCCUGGUCCAGUAAUGAGGA